rnacentral:rRNA from 1 species
UACGUUCCCGGGCCUUGUACACACCGCCCGUCACGCCAUGGAAGUUGACUGCAACAGAAGUGGUCCGCAAGGACCCCGAAGUUGUGGUUGAUGACUGGGGCG